rnacentral:rRNA from 1 species
AGACAGCAGUAGCCGCGGUAAUACGUAGGUCCCGAGCGUUGUCCGGAUUUAUUGGGCGUAAAGGGAGCGCAGGCGGUUUAGUAAGUCUGAAGUUAAAGGCAUUGGCUCAACCAAUGUAUGCUUUGGAAACUGUUAGACUAGAGUGCAGAAGGGGAGAGUGGAAUUCCAUGUGUAGCGGUGAAAUGCGUAGAUAUAUGGAGGAACACCGGUGGCGAAAGCGGCUCUCUGGUCUGUCACUGACGCUGAGGCUCGAAAGCGUGGGUAGCGAACAGGAUUAGAUACCCCAGUAGUCCCUGUCUCUUAUACA